GCAUCACUUGUUUAGCAGGAGCUGCCUCAGGUCAGUGUGUGCAAGAUGACGACAGCGAGGUGUUGAUUGUCGUAGUUCCACAUUUAGCUCGGAGGAAUCCAGCAGAGGGACCAGGCAAGAACAUUGCAUCCUACAAGGCGAGCCAGUUCGCUGUUAUACAAAGACAAUACAUCCUUCUGCCAUGGCAGGAGGUUCCCCUCACCAGGGUAACCCCAUGGAGGUGACAUCCCCAGCAGUGACCUGAGGAUCGAGUGGGUUGCGUUCGUGCAUAUCUCCUUAGGUAAACAAGCUGCACCACGGAGACUCCACGGACACUAGACUCUCUGUCUCUCAGGCGCAGGAGGCUAACCGCUAAUGGCGCCAGGCUCGCCGCUCUGCACCGAGCGCGAAGCGCCAGUUAUCAUGUUAGCGCCUUCCCUUAUGAUGUACUGACCCCGACGCAUUCGCAUUCGUUUCUCUAUUUUUACACUAGGCGGAGGGAGGGCGGAAGUCACACAGUGGUGUAUCAACUCUGCCCGCUCGUUUGUUCAUUCUGCUCACCAGCGGUUGUCGGUUGGGUUUUGAAUCACCCCAGAGGCUCAGAGCUCUUAUAUACGGAGCGCGUGUCUCGUGAGCACUGUCCCCCUGAAACAAUUUAGCAAAGCGAUUAUGACAAUCACGUGAAACAAACCCAAAAGUAAGGGCAAAAAAGACACCAGAACCUUUAAAGUGCAUCUGUCUUUUUAUUUUAUAUUUGCAAUUUUGAAGUGGAGAUUUAAAAAAAUUGAACAUUGGAUUUAUUUUCUCAACAAACGAUGCUUCUCAAAAUGGCACUGUACCAUACAUAGCUUAAUUUAUACA